rnacentral:rRNA from 1 species
GACGAACGCUGGCGGCGUGCUUAACACAUGCAAGUCGAGCGGUAAGGCCCUUUCGGGGGUACACGAGCGGCGAACGGGUGAGUAACACGUGGGUGACCUGCCCUCAGCUCUGGGAUAAGCCUGGGAAACCGGGUCUAAUACCGGAUAUGACUCCACGACGCAUGUUGUGGGGUGGAAAGCCUUGUGCGGCUGAGGAUGGGCCCGCGGCCUAUCAGCUUGUUGGUGGGGUGAUGGCCACCAAGGCGACGACGGGUAGCCGGCCUGAGAGGGCGACCGGCCACACUGGGACUGAGACACGGCCCAGACUCCUACGGGAGGCAGCAGGUGGGGAAUCUUGCGCAAUGGGCGAAAGCCUGACGCAGCGACGCCGCGUGGAGGACGAAGGCCUUCGGU